rnacentral:rRNA from 1 species
GACGAACGCUGGCGGCGUGCCUAAUACAUGCAAGUAGAACGCUGAAGGAGGAGCUUGCUCUUCUGGAUGAGUUGCGAACGGGUGAGUAACGCGUAGGUAACCUGCCUGGUAGCGGGGGAUAACUAUUGGAAACGAUAGCUAAUACCGCAUAAUAACAGUUGUUGCAUGACAACUGUUUGAAAGGUGCAAUUGCAUCACUACCAGAUGGACCUGCGUUGUAUUAGCUAGUUGGUGGGGUAACGGCUCACCAAGGCGACGAUACAUAGCCGACCUGAGAGGGUGAUCGGCCACACUGGGACUGAGACACGGCCCAGACUCCUACGGGAGGCAGCAGUAGGGAAUCUUCGGCAAUGGACGAAAGUCUGACCGAGC